rnacentral:rRNA from 1 species
GGUUAAGCGACUAAGCGUACACGGUGGAUGCCCUGGCAGUCAGAGGCGAUGAAGGACGUGCUAAUCUGCGAAAAGCGUCGGUAAGGUGAUAUGAACCGUUAUAACCGGCGAUGUCCGAAUGGGGAAACCCAGUGCAAUUCGUUGCACUAUCGUUAACUGAAUACAUAGGUUAACGAGGCGAACCGGGGGAACUGAAACAUCUAAGUACCCCGAGGAAAAGAAAUCAACCGAGAUUCCCCCAGUAGCGGCGAGCGAACGGGGAGCAGCCCAGAGUCUGAAUCAGCUUGUGUGUUAGUGGAACGGUCUGGAAAGUCCGACGGUACAGGGUGAUAGUCCCGUACACCAAAAUGCACAGGCUGUGAACUCGAAGAGUAGGGCGGGACACGUGGUAUCCUGUCUGAAUAUGGGGGGACCAUCCUCCAAGGCUAAAUACUCCUGACUGACCGAUAGUGAACCAGUACCGUGAGGGAAAGGCGAAAAGAACCCCGGCGAGGGGAGUGAAAAAGAACCUGAAACCGUGUACGUACAAGCAGUGGGAGCACCUUCGGGUGUGACUGCGUACCUUUUGUAUAAUGGGUCAGCGACUUAUAUUCUGUAGCAAGGUUAACCGUAUAGGGGAGCCGCAGGGAAACCGAGUCUUAACUGGGCGUUAAGUUGCAGGGUAUAGACCCGAAACCCGGUGAUCUAGCCAUGGGCAGGUUGAAGGUUGGGUAACACUAACUGGAGGACCGAACCGACUAAUGUUGAAAAAUUAGCGGAUGACUUGUGGCUGGGGGUGAAAGGCCAAUCAAACCGGGAGAUAGCUGGUUCUCCCCGAAAGCUAUUUAGGUAGCGCCUCGUGAACUCAUCUUCGGGGGUAGAGCACUGUUUCGGCUAGGGGGUCAUCCCGACUUACCAACCCGAUGCAAACUACGAAUACCGAAGAAUGUUAUCACGGGAGACACACGGCGGGUGCUAACGUCCGUCGUGAAGAGGGAAACAACCCAGACCGCCAGCUAAGGUCCCAAAGUCAUGGUUAAGUGGGAAACGAUGUGGGAAGGCACAGACAGCCAGGAUGUUGGCUUAGAAGCAGCCAUCAUUUAAAGAAAGCGUAAUAGCUCACUGGUCGAGUCGGCCUGCGCGGAAGAUGUAACGGGGCUAAACCAUGCACCGAAGCUGCGGCAGCGACACUAUGUGUUGUUGGGUAGGGGAGCGUUCUGUAAGCCUGCGAAGGUGUGCUGUGAGGCAUGCUGGAGGUAUCAGAAGUGCGAAUGCUGACAUAAGUAACGAUAAAGCGGGUGAAAAGCCCGCUCGCCGGAAGACCAAGGGUUCCUGUCCAACGUUAAUCGGGGCAGGGUGAGUCGACCCCUAAGGCGAGGCCGAAAGGCGUAGUCGAUGGGAAACAGGUUAAUAUUCCUGUACUUGGUGUUACUGCGAAGGGGGGACGGAGAAGGCUAUGUUAGCCGGGCGACGGUUGUCCCGGUUUAAGCAUGUAGGCUGGUUAUCCAGGCANNNNNGGAUAACCAAGGCUGAGGUGUGAUGACGAGGCACUACGGUGCUGAAGUAACAAAUGCCCUGCUUCCAGGAAAAGCCUCUAAGCAUCAGGUAACAUCAAAUCGUACCCCAAACCGACACAGGUGGUCAGGUAGAGAAUACCAAGGCGCUUGAGAGAACUCGGGUGAAGGAACUAGGCAAAAUGGUGCCGUAACUUCGGGAGAAGGCACGCUGGUGUGUAGGUGAAGCCCCUGCGGGUGGAGCUGAGACCAGUCGAAGAUACCAGCUGGCUGCAACUGUUUAUUAAAAACACAGCACUGUGCAAACACGAAAGUGGACGUAUACGGUGUGACGCCUGCCCGGUGCCGGAAGGUUAAUUGAUGGGGUUAUCCGUAAGGAGAAGCUCUUGAUCGAAGCCCCGGUAAACGGCGGCCGUAACUAUAACGGUCCUAAGGUAGCGAAAUUCCUUGUCGGGUAAGUUCCGACCUGCACGAAUGGCGUAAUGAUGGCCAGGCUGUCUCCACCCGAGACUCAGUGAAAUUGAACUCGCUGUGAAGAUGCAGUGUACCCGCGGCAAGACGGAAAGACCCCGUGAACCUUUACUAUAGCUUGACACUGAACAUUGAGCCUUGAUGUGUAGGAUAGGUGGGAGGCUUUGAAGCGUGGACGCCAGUCUGCGUGGAGCCAACCUUGAAAUACCACCCUUUAAUGUUUGAUGUUCUAACGUUGGCCCCUUACCGGGGUUGCGGACAGUGUCUGGUGGGUAGUUUGACUGGGGCGGUCUCCUCCCAAAGCGUAACGGAGGAGCACGAAGGUUAGCUAAUCCUGGUCGGACAUCAGGAGGUUAGUGCAAUGGCAUAAGCUAGCUUGACUGCGAGCGUGACGGCGCGAGCAGGUGCGAAAGCAGGUCAUAGUGAUCCGGUGGUUCUGAAUGGAAGGGCCAUCGCUCAACGGAUAAAAGGUACUCCGGGGAUAACAGGCUGAUACCGCCCAAGAGUUCAUAUCGACGGCGGUGUUUGGCACCUCGAUGUCGGCUCAUCACAUCCUGGGGCUGAAGUAGGUCCCAAGGGUAUGGCUGUUCGCCAUUUAAAGUGGUACGCGAGCUGGGUUUAGAACGUCGUGAGACAGUUCGGUCCCUAUCUGCCGUGGGCGCUGGAGAAUUGAGGGGGGCUGCUCCUAGUACGAGAGGACCGGAGUGGACGCAUCACUGGUGUUCGGGUUGUCAUGCCAAUGGCACUGCCCGGUAGCUAAAUGCGGAAGAGAUAAGUGCUGAAAGCAUCUAAGCACGAAACUUGCCCCGAGAUGAGUUCUCCCUGAGACUUUAAGUCUCCUGAAGGAACGUUAAAGACGAUGACGUUGAUAGGCCGGGUGUGUAAGCGCAGCGAUGCGUUGAGCUAACCGGUACUAAUGAACCGUGAGGCUUAACCUU